CGUGCAGGCGGCUGGAUAAGUCUGAUGUGAAAGCCCGGGGCUCAACCCCGGAAGUGCAUUGGAAACUGUCCAGCUUGAGUACCGGAGAGGAUGGGGGAAUUCCCGGUGUAGAGGUGAAAUUCGUAGAGAUCGGGAGGAAUACCAGUGGCGAAGGCGCCCAUCUGGACGGAUAUUGACGCUGAGACGCGAAAGCGUGGGGAGUAAACA
rnacentral:rRNA from 1 species